rnacentral:tRNA from 2 species
CAAGGGGUAGUUUAAUGUGAGAAUCCUGGCUUUGGGAGCCAGGGGCAGGAGUUAAACCCUCUUCUCCUUGA